rnacentral:rRNA from 1 species
CAUGUUACCAGCAUCAAGUUGGGGACUCAUGCGAGACUGCCGGUGACAAACCGGAGGAAGGUGGGGAUGACGUCAAAUCAUCAUGCCCCUUAUGGCCUGGGCUACACACGUACUACAAUGGCGACCACAAAGAGCAGCGACUUGGUGACAAGAAGCGAAUCUCAUAAAGGUCGUCUCAGUUCGGAUUGAAGUCUGCAACUCGACUUCAUGAAGUCGGAAUCGCUAGUAAUCGCAGAUCAGCAUGCUGCGGUGAAUACGUUCUCGGGCCUUGUACACACCGCCCGUCAAACCAUGGGAGUCAGUAAUACCCGAAGCCGGUGGCAUAACCGUAAGGAGUGAGCCGUCGAAGGUAGGACCGAUGACUGGGGUUAAGUCGUAACAAGGUAUCCCUACGGGAACGUGGGGAUGGAUCACCUCCUUU